AGAGUAUGCCAGAUCCGCGACAAAUACAUGGAAUCCACUGUUCACACGGACAGAGUCUCCUCUGUAUUUGCACGGCGUCGCACAAGUACAAAAGUACAAACAAUAUACAACUACAACUAAGUGAAUAUACAGAUAGCUAUACAUUCAUACAUUCACCAUUCACACCGUAGUUUUACAUUCGAUGUUUAAACAAAAGUCCACGAAAAACCUUUUGAAAACUGUUCCAUACGCGAAAACUUUUAUCUUUUAUAAAAGCUACCACGAGGGGUAGAAAACCUUUUAUUUUACCAAAUCCAGAGAUCCUUUUAUUACAUUUAUGAAAGUCCACAUAUUCCAAUGUAAUAA
rnacentral:lncRNA from 1 species